AUCAAAUAUUAGGCUUAAGGAUUCACAUAAUACAUGCAAAGAACUAAAAACCACACUGAACAAAAGGCAAUAACAUAAGCCCGAUCAGUACAAUAGAGAUUAAGCAAAUUGAAAAUCACACCGAAAUCAGUAGGCCUACAAUGCAUGUAGUCCUGAUAAAAUCCACUAUAAAUCUUUAUACGCACUUGUGGGUUACUAGAUCCACGAAAAGGAUAAUGCUACCCAAGUGGUUCCAAGCUUUUAAAGAGCAAAAAUUAGUGUCAAUUUGUCUAAAAUUUGAAGAAAAAAAAACACAUAUUGGGGUUUGAACCAAAAACAAAAACCAAGUAUCCAUUACAUCGACAAACUGCAUCAGCCAAAGAAAUUAGUCAACGUCCAAUAUGAUUCUACGGAGCUGCAUCAUCAAAAACUGUACUUCACAAAGCAGAUAUUUAUAGUAGGGUUUCCUUUAUAAAAAAAAAAACAAAACAACUCUAUAAAAGGCACAUAACCUGGUUUUACGGAGAACAACUCACAGAACCAAGUGCAAUGAGAACGCAAUAAAAAAUAAAAAGGAAGAGUUAAGUAGCUUGUGUUACAUUUUCUAUCUUCACAGCUCAACUUCUGGUAAAGAUAGGUCUUCUUUUCUCAAUGUUUGCUGCAAACUGUUAAGCAUGAUGGACAAUCUGUGCUGGCAGAGGCAGUCGUCUUGUAGAAGUCAUUUGCUUUGAUUCUUGCUCCACGUAGUCAUAUUGACCAAGAAAUAUUAGACCACUUGACAAAAUCAACUGCUAGAACAAGUAAGGUUUCCAAAUUUUAAGAGGAUGAUGCCCCAAAAUAUAGUUAAAUGUAAGAAAUUAGUUGUUUAUGUAAAUAUCACCAGGUCUAAUGAACAUUAAACCUUUAUAUAGUUACGUCUUGCAUUCAGAGAAGAAAAAUGUCUAAAUACUUUCCUAAAAUUGAGUUUUUUCUUCCUGGAGAAUUGUAGAAUAUCCCGCUACACCUGGUUUAAAAUACAUUUAGAGGCAUUUCACAUCUUCUGGGCAUAGGUAGAGAUAUUCACACACAAAAAAUGUGCAGUUUUCCAUAUACACAGCCGACAAAGGAAAAAAUGCAAAUCAAAAAAACGAAAAUAUAUUUACACUUUUUCAUGCAAUCUUUCUUUAAAUAUAUUUAAUAUACUACAAUCGCUUUACAGCAACGUAAAGAAAAAGGGCGGUCCCAACACUUUUGGUACAUUCAGU